UAGAGGCAUUUUGGGUCGAGGCUUGACUCUCAGUGUGGUGCAUAAGGAAAAGGAAGAGCCCCGUCACACUUUUCUGGAUCCAUCAGUGUUGGCUGCUGGUGAUAGCAAGAUGGCAGAGGCCUGCGCUGGUUGGAAUAGAAUGCUUGGAAGGAAUUCGGAUGUACCUGUAUUACCAUUAGGAAGAGCAGCUUGUGGUAUAGGCAGAGGCAUAUACAAGGCUCCCAGUGCUACCAGCAUGCCUUCUCGGGGCCCUGCCCAGCAGCCAUUACCGCCACCUCCGCCUCCAUCCUCACUACAAUCUCUGGAUCGUCUUUCACUGGGGACAGCAGAGCACAGGGAAAAAGAGCUUUUUGUGAAGCAAGGAUCAAAAGGAAUACCUCAACCUUUGGGAUUGAAUCUUAUCAAAAUACAGUGUCAUAAUGAAGCAGUUUAUCAAUAUCAUGUGACUUUCAGGUAUUCACAGUUUUUUUUCUCUGUAUUGUUCACUUCUUAGUAGUAAUGAAAUCAUUCCCCUGGAAUAGCUGAAUAUAUUUUUGUGUAAUUUCU